GACGAACGCUGGCGGCGUGCUUAACACAUGCAAGUCGAACGGAAAGGCCCUGCUUUUGUGGGGUGCUCGAGUGGCGAACGGGUGAGUAACACGUGAGUAACCUGCCCUUGACUUUGGGAUAACUUCAGGAAACUGGGGCUAAUACCGGAUAGGAGCUCCUGCUGCAUGGUGGGGGUUGGAAAGUUUCGGCGGUUGGGGAUGGACUCGCGGCUUAUCAGCUUGUUGGUGGGGUAGUGGCUUACCAAGGCUUUGACGGGUAGCCGGCCUGAGAGGGUGACCGGCCACAUUGGGACUGAGAUGCGGCACAGCCUCCUACGGGAGGCAGCAGUGGGGAAUAUUGCACAAUGGGCGGAAGCCUGAUGCAGCACCGCCGCGUGCGGGAUAACGGCCUUCGGGUUGUAAACCGCUUUCGCCUGUGACGAAGCGUGAGUGACGGUAAUGGGUAAAGAAGCACCGGCUAACUACGUG
rnacentral:rRNA from 1 species